UACGUAGGGGGCGAGCGUUAUCCGGAGUUACUGGGCGUAAAGGGCACGCAGGCGGUCGUGUAAGUUUGGGGUUACAGCUCCCGGCUCAACUGGGAGAGCGCCUUGAAGACUGCAGGACUUGAGGGCCACAGAGGGACACGGAAUUCCGGGUGUAGUGGUGAAAUGCGUAGAUAUCCGGAGGAACACCAAAGGCGAAGGCAGUGUCCUGGGUGGUACCUGACGCUCAGGUGCGAAAGCUAGGGGAGCGAACGGG
rnacentral:rRNA from 2 species